rnacentral:rRNA from 1 species
AGUGAACGCUGGCGGUAGGCCUAACACAUGCAAGUCGAACGGCAGCGCAGUAAGAGCUUGCUCUUACGGGUGGCGAGUGGCGGACGGGUGAGGAAUACAUCGGAAUCUACUUUUUCGUGGGGGAUAACGUAGGGAAACUUACGCUAAUACCGCAUACGACCUACGGGUGAAAGCAGGGGAUCUUCGGACCUUGCGCGAUUGAAUGAGCCGAUGUCGGAUUAGCUAGUUGGCGGGGUAAAGGCCCACCAAGGCGACGAUCCGUAGCUGGUCUGAGAGGAUGAUCAGCCACACUGGAACUGAGACACGGUCCAGACUCCUACGGGAGGCAGCAGUGGGGAAUAUUGGACAAUGGGCGCAAGCCUGAUCCAGCCAUACCGCGUGGGUGAAGAAGGCCUUCGGGUUGUAAAGCCCUUUGUUGGGAAAGAAAAGCAGCAGGUUAAUACCCCGCUGUUCUGACGGUACCCAAAGAAUAAGCACCGGCUAACUUCGUG